GCCCGGUAUCCGACGUAAGAGUACACUUUUUACUGCACGCGUAGUCGGGUGCGUUCACUACGAGGACACUUGUACUCAACUACGCGUGAAGUAUGAGUACAGAAUCGUCCCAUACAGUACUAGAAAAAAGUUUGGCAUGUGAAACGGACGAAGACAUAUUCUAACAGAAGUACAAAUACCAGUCCUCCCUUUUGUGUAUACAUAUGAGAAAACAUUUCAAAGUUAUUGAUUGAAUUCAAAUCCAUCACACAUACGGUACACAUUGUAGUCCGAAAAAAUAAAGGACUUCAUUCCUAUCAAAC
rnacentral:lncRNA from 1 species